AAAGGGGAAAUUUGCAUCUUCACAUGAUCACAUCACAGUCAUUUGUGUGCUCAAACACAUUAAUAUUCCAAGUAUCAACCUCAGACCAACAAAUAAUAUUCACAAGAAGUGUUCAGUCAACAUGAAAAGAGGUUUUUAAGGGUAACCGUCAUUGGUACAGCGGAUUACUUCUCAUUCCAACACCGCCGAGUUGAAUCAGCUUCAACCUGUGGAGAAAAAAGAUGUUAACUAACAUGUCCAGACUGCUGAAAAUCACGCUGAUGGUGGCCAUGUGUGUGCUCGUCUUAACCACGCUGACGGCCAGUGGAGGGGCCAUCUGGCAUCAACUUUCAAAGACAGCACACGGGCAACACCAGGACAUCAUCCAGGCCCAGUCCAGAUCAAGACAUGGAAGGGGCACUGGCGCACAGUUUGUAGGCGGUAGUUUCGGUGGUGGCUUUGGGCCCAUUGGCCAACGAGGUGGCGAUGGGAGAUUUAGUGGCUACAGUGGAGGUGGUGACUUUAGGGGCAGUGCCCAGGGCAG